rnacentral:rRNA from 1 species
AACGAACGCUGGCGGCAGGCCUAACACAUGCAAGUCGAACGCUCGUAGCAAUACGGGAGUGGCAGACGGGUGAGUAACACGUGGGAACCUACCCUUUGGUUCGGAAUAGCCCAGGGAAACUUGGGGGUAAUACCGGAUAAGCCCUUCGGGGGAAGGAUUUAUCGCCGAAGGAUGGGCCCGUGUCGGAUUAGCUAGUUGGUGGGGUAACGGCCUACCAAGGCGACGAUCCGUAGCUGGUCUGAGAGGAUGAUCAGCCACACUGGGACUGAGACACGGCCCAGACUCCUACGGGAGGCAGCAGUGGGGAAUAUUGGACAAUGGGCGCAAGCCUGAUCCAGCCAUGCCGCGUGAGUGACGAAGGUCUUAGGGUUGUAAAGCUCUUUUACCAGGGACGAU